CUCACUGAGCGCACUGCAUUUGUGUGGAUUCUCCUGAUUCUCGAGGUUGAUAGCCAGGCACAAGUUCCCGUCCUUCACGGAGUGAACUGGGGCAGAUUGACGUUUACCACUGACAAAUGAGCUGCUGUGACUGUAGAGCUCCGGAAAAUACUCCUCCUCCCGCAUUAACUGUGCUAUAGGAGUUUGUGUCCUUGCGAAGGGGACCAGUCCAGUCACUGUUUUCUACGGUUAUUUUACCAUUUUGUUUCUUUUGGUUAUUUGCCUUGGUUGAUUAUUUUCUUGUGAUUUCAUUUACA